GGAAGGUCCGGGCGUUAUCCGGAUUUAUUGGGUUUAAAGGGAGCGUAGGCCGGAGAUUAAGCGUGUUGUGAAAUGUAGACGCUCAACGUCUGCACUGCAGCGCGAACUGGUUUCCUUGAGUACGCAAGUGGGCGGAAUUCGUGGUGUAGCGGUGAAAUGCUUAGAUAUCAUGAAGAACUCCGAUCGCGAAGGCAUAUGUCCGGAGUGCAACUGACGCUGAGGCUCGAAAGUGUGGGUAUCAAACAGGAUUAGAUACCCUGGUAGUCCACACGGUAAACGAUGGAUGCCCGCUGUUGGUCUGAACAGGUCAGCGGCCAAGCGAAAGCAUUAAGCAUCCCACCUGGGGAGU
rnacentral:rRNA from 1 species